rnacentral:tRNA from 1 species
UCCCUGGAGGACUAGUGGGUAGGCCACAGCACUAGCACUGCUGCGGUCUGGGUUCGAUUCCUGGCCAGGGAA